GACGAACGCUGGCGGCGUGCUUAACACAUGCAAGUCGAACGCUGAAGCUUGGUGCUUGCACUGGGUGGAUGAGUGGCGAACGGGUGAGUAAUACGUGAGUAACCUGCCCUUGACUCUGGGAUAAGCCUGGGAAACUGGGUCUAAUACUGGAUACGACAUGUCACCGCAUGGUGACGUGUGGAAAGGGUUUUACUGGUUUUGGAUGGGCUCACGGCCUAUCAGCUUGUUGGUGGGGUAAUGGCUCACCAAGGCGACGACGGGUAGCCGGCCUGAGAGGGUGACCGGCCACACUGGGACUGAGACACGGCCCAGACUCCUACGGGAGGCAGCAGUGGGGAAUAUUGCACAAUGGGCGAAAGCCUGAUGCAGCGACGCCGCGUGAGGGAUGACGGCCUUCGGGUUGUAAACCUCUUUCAGCACGGAAGAAGCGAAAGUGACGGUACGUGCAGAAGAAGCGCCGGCUAACUACGUG
rnacentral:rRNA from 1 species